rnacentral:misc_RNA from 1 species
GAUGAAGAACGUAGCGAAAUGCGAUAAGUAGUGUGAAUUGCAGAAUUCAGUGAAUCAUCGAAUCUUUGAACGCACAUUGCGCCCCUUGGUAUUCCAUGGGGCAUGCCUGUUCGAGCGUCAUUUGUACCCUCAAGCUUUGCUUGGUGUUGGGCGUCUUGUCGUAUUACGACUCGCCUUAAAUACAUUGGCAGCUGGCACUUUGGCCUAGGAGCGCAGCACAUUUUGCGAUCGUAGCCCGUUGUACUGGCGUCCAUCAAGAACAUUUACCACGUUUGACCUCGGAUCAGGUAGGGAUACCCGCUGAACUUAAGCAUAUCAAUAAGCGGAGGA